rfam:Felis catus isolate Cinnamon breed Abyssinian chromosome D1, whole genome shotgun sequence.
GCCUGGCUGGCUUGGUCGGUUAAGCGUCUGACUUCGGCUCAGGUCAUGACCUCGCCAUCCGUGAGUUCGAGCCCCGCGUCGGGCU